UUUUCCCUAAAUCCAGUGUUGGAUAAAAAGGAAGCCAGGUGAAUGUGGGCUCUGGCAUGGGAAAAAAAACUGACUUCUCCUCCCAGUUGCCUCGAUCAUGUCUGUGGCUUUGAGUGGGCCUCAGAUUUCUCAUCUUUUAAAUGGAGGGUAAUUCAUCCAGCAAAUAUUUGUUGGCCCCCUACUAUGUGCCAUGUACUGUUCUGGGCAUUGGAGAUACAUUGGCAAACAAAAUAGACAAAACGCCUGAUUUCUUGGAGUUUAUGUUCAACUGAGGAGAGAUAGAUAAUACACACAACAAAUACAUAAAUUACGUAAAAGUUCUCAUUGUGGUUCCAGCAGGUUAAGGAUACAAUAUAGUAUCUGGGAGGAUGGGGGUUCAAUCCCUGGCCUCACUCAGUGGGUUAAUGAUCCAGAGUUGCCACAGAUGCUGCUCAGAUCUGGAGUUACUAUGACUGUGAUGUAGUCUGGCAGUUGCAGCUCCAAUUCAACUCCUACCCCAGGAACAUCCAUAUGCCGAAGGUGUGGCCAUAAAAAGCAAAAAAAAAUUAUAUAGCAUGAUAGAGGGUAUUAAGUUCCACCCUCAAAGUAGAACACGGUGAGGAGAAAGACUGGGUGAGGGGAAGUUUGAGGGACUGGGUGACACCCUAUCUGUUAGGGUAGAUCUCAUUGAGAGAGUGACAUUUACCCCAAGACGUGGAGGGGGAGAGGGGGGCGAGCCACCGGGCUAUCUGGGGGAAGAGGGUCCCAGGCAAAGGCGAGAAUGAAGGCAAAGGUCUCAACUGGGAAUAUGCCUGGUCAGUUGCAGGAAAAACAGGAAAAUGAUUGUGGCUGGUGAGGAGUGAGGGAAGGAGAGAUUACUAGGAAAUCAGACAUGCAUUAGGGGUUGGGAGAUAAGGGCCUAUUUCAUAGAGCCUUUAGCCACUGUCAGGUUUAGCUUCACCCUGCCCUGGGAGCCAUUGGAGGGUUCUGGGCAAAAGAAAGACACACUCUGAGGUACAUUUUAACAGGAUCCCUCUGGCCUCUAAUUUGAGAAUAGGCUUAUAGGGGACAAGGGGAAAAGCAGGGAGUCUGCAGCGCUAAUCCAGGGGAGAGAGAAGGAUCCACACCCUGUUGGUUUUGCCUAUUCUGAGCUCUGUUGGGUAAAUGGCACAUCAGAUUUGGGGGGAAGGAUGUAUAUGAUUUUUCUUAUUCUCUUUGACAUACCUACCCUGCCCAGGGCCAUGGCUGGAGGCUGGACCGUCCCACUGACCUUUCUGGGGGGUUGUGGCUAACGUGAUGGAGGUGUCGAGGGAGGGAGGGAGAGUGUUACCUUCCAAGGUUGUUGGCAGCCACCUCCUGACUGGUGGGCCAGGAGACAUCUGAUCCUGGCUGGAAGUGUAUUUUGGGGAAUGGCGUGCUCGUGCCCUCUCUGAACAGGAAACUCAGCCAGUCAGUCAAUGAUGGCUGGUUUUCAAGACGGAACAUACCUCUCAACUAGUAGCGCUGGCAUGCAGUCCCUUCUGAAAGGAUGGAGGGAGAAGCUUACAGCCAAACACACAGCAGGACACGUGGACUGGGAGGAGAGUCAGUUCUCCCAGGUGUUUUGAUGCUGCAUUGUCACUUCCCUAAAUGCAAUGCAAGGAGAAUCCAGUGCCUGCCACAUUCAAGGAAGCAUGUCAUGAAUGCUAGAAAGAAAAGCGGGAGGUUUGGCCACGGUGCUGGAUUCACCCAGAACAUACAUCAAAUACCUUGUGACUCGUCUCAUGAUCGUCCCCAGACAAACCACUUCACCAAAGGUUCUUCUUGGUUGUGGUUUGGCCAAUAGAAGCUUGUUACAGUUUAUGCUGAUCUUCAGGAACCCUGAGAAAACUUGAAGAGUAAAAAGCCAUAAGGCCAUCUGUCCUAUUUUCCAUUACCUCUUGUCUACACAUGGGACCUUCUCCUCUCCUUCUCCUCUCCUUCUCCCCACCUCAGCCCCAAGACUCUCACGGUCUCUUUCGAUCGGCACCCCCUCUGGACAGAGCACUGAGCUCAGCUCUAGAAGGUCAGAGCCGAGUAAUUCAAAACCCCUGCCCUUCAAUUGCAUUUGCUCUAGAAGGCAGAAGGGGCUGCACAGAACCCUAAGGCACUCUGAGUGAGGGCUCCAACAAAUUCCCCAGAGAAGAGCUAGCCUAGCCUCUGUGCUGGGUCUCAGAGCCAGAGGUGAAGAGAGAAUUAUAUUGACAGCAGGGGAAAUAAUAGCUAAUAAUUACACGUGGCUCUCAAAAAGAAACUAUUUGAGUAUUCAUAUAAAAUUAUUGUCAAUUUUACUGAUAGAAAAGAUAUGUAGCACACAAUUCACAAAUAAUAAUAAAAUAUACAAUACUCCUUAUGGCAUAUCCUAUCAGUCAAUUCUCACAAAAUGCUUUUGCUGAUUCUUGCUGAACUAUGAUAUCCAGAACCAACCUGCUAGGUGGCUAGGCUGACACGAAUGGAUCCCAGUCCAUCCUGGUUGGCGUCAUUUUUCUCUUUCCCUCCCCCACCUUGACACUGACCAGAACAUACCCAGAGAUCCUCCCUUUUGUGGCUGAGAACUGUUAAGUUCCCAGCCUUAUCAGGUCCAAGUAGAAGGUCAGAAAACAGAGCUGGGCUUUUCCAAACUGCCACACUGGUUGGCACAGGCACACCAAGACAUAAGAUGUGACCCCAAACAACCCAGGUUCAUUAUGUCAUAUUUGUGAUAAAUUAGCUUUGUGAUUUUUUGCAUCCCCUCAUCCACAGUAUUUUGCUUGUGUGCCAAUGGGUAAGCACCGUACAAUCGCUUCUCGGACUUUUUGGCUAAGGUCAAGUGUAGUAAGCACCGUGCACAAGGAGAAAAGUUAUAAAAUCUAAAGCUGUCAAUCACCUUGUCAAUCAAAUGAUGCAGGACACAGGGAGGGACUCUCCACUGCUCUGAAAGGAAAUACUAGCAGCCCUCCCCUCACUGCGGGGCUGCUUUUGGUUUCUAGCCAGACAGCCUGCUCUCUUCUCUCCAGGAGAGUGCUUUAGCUUGCUUGGCUUAAUAAAACUCCUGCUGCUUGAAAUUGCUCUAUGUCCCUUGUUUGAAUUCUUUCCUUCAGGGAAAGGACCAAGGAAUUGUAACAAAUCUACCACUGCAACUCAGAUGACUACUGGUUGAUAUUUUGUUUACUUUAAUGAAUAAGAUAAAAAGUAAGUUGAGAAUGCCUGUCAGAACUUCACUCAUUGGUCAGUGACAUAAGCAACUUCUUUGCUGAAUCGGGUCAUAGUUUUCAAAUAUUGGAAGGAUAUGUUCUUAAGUUUUGGGGCCGUUCACAAUACGACAGCUACAGACAUGACAAAUCUUAGUCUGUAUUAACAGCUCUCUAUUGUUUUCUUAAGUCUAGACAUUUAACACAACAGCAAAUCAAGCCGUGAUUUGUAGUGUCUGCUAAUUUCUGUGGUGUAAACACUCAAGCAACCAAUGUGACAAAUAGAGGCACAAUAGCAAGUGGUCAUACAGUGUUUCCAGAAUAUAGAUACAAUAUAUAUAAACAACCCAAGAGCAAAAUAACAGAAAACUGUGUUAAAAUCAUCAGAAGGUGAUCAUUUUGAGUAUUUAUUUCCUAUUUUUAA
rnacentral:lncRNA from 1 species